UAGGGAAUUUUGGACAAUGGGCGAAAGCCUGAUCCAGCAAUGCCGCGUGUGUGAAGAAGGCCUUCGGGUUGUAAAGCACUUUUGUCCGGAAAGAAAUCCUUGGCUCUAAUACAGUCGGGGGAUGACGGUACCGGAAGAAUAAGCACCGGCUAACUACGUGCCAGCAGCCGCGGUAAUACGUAGGGUGCAAGCGUUAAUCGGAAUUACUGGGCGUAAAGCGUGCGCAGGCGGUUUGCUAAGACCGAUGUGAAAUCCCCGGGCUCAACCUGGGAACUGCAUUGGUGACUGGCAGGCCAGAGUAUGGCAGAGGGGGGUUAGAAUUCCACGUGUAGCAGUGAAAUGCGUAGAGAUGUGGAGGAAUACCGAUGGCGAAGGCAGCCCCCUGGGCCAAUACUGACGCUCAUGCACGAAAGCGUGGGGGAGCAAACAGGAUUAGAUACCCUGGUAGUCCAGCGCCCUAAACGAUGUCAACUAGUUGUUGGGGAUUCAUUCCUUAGUAACGUAGCUAACGCGUGAAGUUGACCGCCUGGGGAGUACGGUCGCAA
rnacentral:rRNA from 1 species